GUGAAAGAAACAGGCCUGAAUUAUGAAGUAUUUUAACAUCCUGAAGAUCAUGCAGCUUCAGCUCUAUCUGUUCAUAUGGUGUCGAGCUGCAGAGACUUUAACAGAUCAUUUAACAGAUUUGGGUCAAAAUGUGACUAUAAACUGUGAUCUUGAUGAAACAGAGGUUAUCUGGUCAUUAAUAAAAGUAGAUUCUCCAGUUCUGAUAUUACGCACUUUCUCAAAUACAGCUCCUUUUUACUUAAAUAACACAUUUCAACAGAAAUAUUCAGUACAAAAGAAACACAAUCUGUUCAUAAAUAACAUUACUAUUGAUGAUUUGGGAGUUUAUUACUGUAUGAAAAUAGAUCCUCCUCAAAAAUACAGCAGUAGCACGAGACUGAAGAUCAUUGAACCAACAGCAGAGAUCCAGAGUCAUACAGCGGUGAAGGACAUUGAGCAGAAGCAGACUCACUGGCAGAUUAUUAUCCUCAUCAUCUCUGCUCUGUUCAAUGCUCUUCUGAUCAUUCUGAUCACAGGUCAGUUAUGUGAUUGAACGGCAUG